GGGUUGUGAGGUUAAGCGACUAAGCGUACACGGUGGAUGCCCUGGCAGUCAGAGGCGAUGAAGGACGUGCUAAUCUGCGAUAAGCGUCGGUGAGGUGAUAUGAACCGUUAUAACCGGCGAUUUCCGAAUGGGGAAACCCAGUGUGUUUCGACACACUAUCAUUAACUGAAUCCAUAGGUUAAUGAGGCGAACCGGGGGAACUGAAACAUCUAAGUACCCCGAGGAAAAGAAAUCAACCGAGAUUCCCCCAGUAGCGGCGAGCGAACGGGGAGGAGCCCAGAGCCUGAAUCAGUGUGUGUGUUAGUGGAAGCGUCUGGAAAGGCGCGCGAUACAGGGUGACAGCCCCGUACACAAAAAUGCACAUAUUGUGAGCUCGAUGAGUAGGGCGGGACACGUGGUAUCCUGUCUGAAUAUGGGGGGACCAUCCUCCAAGGCUAAAUACUCCUGACUGACCGAUAGUGAACCAGUACCGUGAGGGAAAGGCGAAAAGAACCCCGGCGAGGGGAGUGAAAAAGAACCUGAAACCGUGUACGUACAAGCAGUGGGAGCCUCUUAAUGGGGUGACUGCGUACCUUUUGUAUAAUGGGUCAGCGACUUAUAUUCUGUAGCAAGGUUAACCGAAUAGGGGAGCCGAAGGGAAACCGAGUCUUAACUGGGCGUUAAGUUGCAGGGUAUAGACCCGAAACCCGGUGAUCUAGCCAUGGGCAGGUUGAAGGUUGGGUAACACUAACUGGAGGACCGAACCGACUAAUGUUGAAAAAUUAGCGGAUGACUUGUGGCUGGGGGUGAAAGGCCAAUCAAACCGGGAGAUAGCUGGUUCUCCCCGAAAGCUAUUUAGGUAGCGCCUCGUGAAUUCAUCUCCGGGGGUAGAGCACUGUUUCGGCAAGGGGGUCAUCCCGACUUACCAACCCGAUGCAAACUGCGAAUACCGGAGAAUGUUAUCACGGGAGACACACGGCGGGUGCUAACGUCCGUCGUGAAGAGGGAAACAACCCAGACCGCCAGCUAAGGUCCCAAAGUCAUGGUUAAGUGGGAAACGAUGUGGGAAGGCCCAGACAGCCAGGAUGUUGGCUUAGAAGCAGCCAUCAUUUAAAGAAAGCGUAAUAGCUCACUGGUCGAGUCGGCCUGCGCGGAAGAUGUAACGGGGCUAAACCAUGCACCGAAGCUGCGGCAGCGAC
rnacentral:rRNA from 1 species